CCCGCCACUAUGCCUGUCUGUAGUGACUGAGUAUAAUCCAGUGGAGGCUCAGAUUGACCCAACUUUAGGAAACAGGUCUGCCCGAAAAACCAAUGGACAACUCUGUGCCGUAAAGUCUGGAACAAAU
ensembl:snoRNA SNORA65 Small nucleolar RNA SNORA65